CAGCCGCCACGGUAAUACGAAGGGUGCAAGCGUUAAUCGGAAUUACUGGGCGUAAAGCGUGCGUAGGCGGUUUGUUAAGUCUGUUGUGAAAUCCCCGGGCUCAACCUGGGAAUGGCAAUGGAUACUGGCAAGCUAGAGUGUGUCAGAGGAUGGUGGAAUUCCCGGUGUAGCGGUGAAAUGCGUAGAGAUCGGGAGGAACAUCAGUGGCGAAGGCGGCCAUCUGGGACAACACUGACGCUGAGGCACGAAAGCGUGGGGAGCAAACAGGAUUAGAGACCCCCGUAGUCCCUGUCUCUUAUAA
rnacentral:rRNA from 1 species